rnacentral:rRNA from 1 species
AUCAUUACCGAGUGCGGGCUGCCUCCGGGCGCCCAACCUCCCACCCGUGACUACCUAACACUGUUGCUUCGGCGGGGAGCCCUCUCGGGGGCGAGCCGCCGGGGACUACUGAACUUCAUGCCUGAGAGUGAUGCAGUCUGAGUCUGAAUAUAAAAUCAGUCAAAACUUUCAACAAUGGAUCUCUUGGUUCCGGCAUCGAUGAAGAACGCAGCGAACUGCGAUAAGUAAUGUGAAUUGCAGAAUUCAGUGAAUCAUCGAGUCUUUGAACGCACAUUGCGCCCCCUGGCAUUCCGGGGGGCAUGCCUGUCCGAGCGUCAUUGCUGCCCAUCAAGCCCGGCUUGUGUGUUGGGUCGUCGUCCCCCCCGGGGGACGGGCCCGAAAGGCAGCGGCGGCACCGUGUCCGGUCCUCGAGCGUAUGGGGCUUUGUCACCCGCUCGAUUAGGGCCGGCCGGGCGCCAGCCGACGUCUCCAACCAUUUUCUUCAGGUUGACCUCGGAUCAGGUAGGGAUACCCGCUGAACUUAAGCAUAUCAAUAAGCGGAGGA